rnacentral:lncRNA from 1 species
GCACACUCAACGAUGAUCUGAUGUCAACAAGCACAUUGGAUAAAGCGCCAUCUUUGCAAUUCAUGGAGAUAUGCAAAGCCAAAUUAUGAUUCCUACCCUCCUCAGGGAGUUCUUCAUCACAUAAACUAAGAUUGUUGCAGGAGGUGAUGUUAGCUACAAUAUGAUCAAACUGAUCCACCGUAACAUCAUGUUCCACAAAAUCUUGCUCAAGAACUCUUUGUAGUGCUUCUC